AAAACCUGACUUUAAGAAAAAAGAAAUACCAGAAAGCAAGGAAAAUGACAGAAAAGGUGAGGCUCAGGCCAGAGGAGGCGGGAGCCUCACAAAGACCCUCCCCCGGCCAGCGAGGGACAGUCUGGGCGUCACUCGGAUAAUAACCGCAGUGGGUGAAACAACAAAGUGGACUGAAGCCGGGGGGGGCUGGGGAGGGACGGUGACCAGGAAGGACACGGACUCAGGAAAACCACAACUAAUGAAGGCUGAAAUCUGGAAGCAGAUCCUCAGAGGAACUGUGUAUCUGGCCAAGGUUCCCAGCCAGACCUCGGUGGAGCUGGGCUCCAGACCCAACCCAGAAAGCUCUGCAGCUUCCUUACUGGGUCAGGCAGGAGGAGCCCGCGUCGUGGGCCCAGCUCGACCUCCUGCCGCCCCUGAGGUCAGCCCAGGGUGAGGGCACAAACGGGGCCACCCGCCUGGGUCUCCCCGUGUCCUCAAACCCUGAAGCUGCUCGCCCACCUUUGAAACAGUCGGGUGUGAUGAGGGGCAAACGCCACACCCAAACUCCCUAGCCACUGCUCUGGGCACGCCAGAAAUCGGGACAGGCUUUGAACCCGGGCUGUGGGUUAGCUAGGAAUGUCGUGUCCCUGAAAGAUCCCGGUGUGACAACCAUCCCCUGACACCCUGAGGUGUGCUGAGGGGUUUAAGGGAGGGGUCACGUACUCCCAUACGAAGCAAGGAUAGUAAGAGUGACCAUCGGCGUCACGGCAACAACGCUCAGACGCAGGAGACACAGAGCAAACGCGCGCGCACCCCGAAGCGUCAGCCAGCGAGGCCAGGGCGCGGGUCUACUCUGCUUGAAACUUUCCUCUCUGAAAUAUUUUCAAAACAAAAGUUUAAAAUUUAAUCAAAAGGCAAAAAAACAGAUUUCACAAAAAUCUGGACUUUCAGCUCCUCUGGGAAAAUCUGGUACCUGGCCACCCGGGCCCACGCCCCAGGGCAGAGGCCGCCAGGCUGGGGUCCUGCUUGCUGUAGGCCCCGCCCCCUGGUCAGCUUCCCCGCAGGCCCCCGAGUGUCCUGGACUCUGGGUCAGAAGCACGCUGACGCCCAGGCCUCGCUUCCCUCUGAGAACAGGGACCCGAGAGGGGCCGGCCACAGAGUCUGAGGACCUGACUAGUGGUGGACAUGGUCAAGCCGCUCCCUGGGACACUGGGAUGCAGGCCUGGAGCCCGGAAGGCUGGGGACGAGUCAACGGCCUCCAAGAUCCCCUGGGACCGUAUCCUGCGAACAGCUUCAGAGAAACGCCCUCUCCCCCCGCCCUGUGAAGGCCGCAGGGGGGUCUGUGAACAGUGGGACAGAGGGACAAGCAGAUAGACGGGACCCGCGGUCUCCUGGGGCAGAGCGAGGUGAGGCAUGAGGCUGAGGGGCUCGGCAGCCAGGAAGAGGGUCCAAAUUGCAGCUCCCGGACCAGCUGAGGCCUGGCAGGCCAACCACUGGGCCUCAGCCCGUCAUCUGCGAAGUGGAGCGACCGACAGAGCUGCGGAAGCAUCAGUGCCACGCCCGGCACGUGGCACGUGCACCAACGGCUACGACCACUGUGUCCCUGCCACCACGCGGCACUACACUCACCCGAUGCCGGGCUCCUCCAACAGGGGCUGGGGGUCUGCUGCCAGCCCUGGCCAAGGAGGCCUGAUCCCAGGGCCCCUCCUGCCCCACCAGAAUGGCCCCUCCCUCUCCAACAGCUGGAGCACAGUGACGCCAGGUGGCCGGCACCUCCCAGCCAAUGGCCACCAGCUGUAAGAAAUAACACGGCGGCAGCCCGUGUGGCCGUCACCAUCUCCCCAGAGGUAACACCUUGGGAGACCACAGCACAGCACCCAGGGUGCCAGCACUGAUGCCGUCCAGAUGCACCAGGACCCCACCCCAGUCCCUAACCCCUGGUCGCCACCAAUCUGUCCUCCGUUUCUAUAAUUUUGUCACCCUGAGAAUGUUAUUUUAAUGGUGUCAUGCAGGAUGCAACCUUUGGAGACUGGCCUCACUCGGCACACUCCCCUCGAGACUCACCCAGGCUGUCGUGUGUGUCAGUAAUUUGUUCCCUUUUUUGGCUGGGUGCUGUUCCACGGUACCCACUCACCUCCUGAAGGGUGCCUGGGUUGUUUCCAGUCUGGGACUCUUGCAAAGAAAGCUGCUAUGAGCAAAAUUAACACACAGGUUUUCACGUGAACGUAAUUUUCCAUUGUUCUGGGAUAAAUGCCCAAGACUGCAAUUUCUGGGUCACAUGGCAGUUACAUGUUUAGUUUUCUAAGAACCUACUAAAAUGUUUUCCAGGCUGUAACAGCUGCCAUUCCCACCGGCAACAGAUGAGAGGGCCAGCUCCUCCUCGUCCUCGCCAGCGGUUUUCAUUUUAACCAUCCUGAUGGGUGUAGAGUGAUUUGCAUUUCCCGCUGCCUGAGGAGCUGAACAUCUCAUGGGUUUGUUUUCCAUCCGAGUGUCCUCUCCGGUCGAGCGUCUCUUCAGGUCUUUGCCCAGUUUCUAACCGGAUUACUUGGUUUUGUAUUGUUGAAUCGUGAGAGAUCUUUAUACGUUCUGGAUACCAGUCCUCGUUCAGAUGUGAGUCCGCAGCUUGUCUUCAUCCCACGUUCCACGUGUCUCACGCUGCCCUCCCUGGAGGAGAAGGUCACCGCAGACACCUUGUAUCCGCCGACCUCGCAACCGUGGCAGCACCCGAGUGCGCGUGGCACCCAGCAGGCACACGAUAAAUGCCGUGGAACGAGCAUCUCCAGAAAACCGUGAGUUCCUCGAUUUGGCACACUGUCAUUUAAAUUUCAGUCCCACGCCCAGAUAAAUAGUGCCGCGCGUGCUUAGCCGCGGAGUAACUUUCUCCCUAACUAGUCCCAGAGCCAUCAGCAGAAGUUGGAGAACAUGCCUCACAAAAUUAAAAAACCAUUUGGAGAUCUCACCCUACUCCCCACGUGGAGAUAACACACUUAGUUGUGACUGACAGGCUGUCCCCCUGGGGCUCAGGAUGGGCAAAGCCCCCGCCCCAAAGCCCAGAGCACUCUGGGCUCGGACCCUCUGCCUCGGGGGUGUAGGGACGAGGCUCCCUCUUCGCCAGGCCCCGCCACUCCCGCCCUGCUGCCCACCCACCUCCACUCCUGCCCACCAGAGCCCCCCAGAGCUUCCACAGCCAGCCCACCCUGCUGGGAACCCUGUCUUCUUCACGAGAGCAUUGAAAAGAACGCAACACUGCAGGAUUCAUUUGCCAAAAAAAGUGCAAGGCUUGUCCACUGAAAACGACAGAGGAUUUCUGAGAAACUAAAGAUCUAGAUAAACGGAAAGACAUUCCUGUUCAUCACUUAGAAGCCUCAAUACUGACAAGACGCCAGUUCUGUAUCAAAUCGAUCUAUAAAUUCAGUGCAGGCUUUUUAAAUAGAAAGUUAUCUAAAAUUCAUAUGGAAAUGCAAAGGCCCUAAAACAGCCCAGACGAUUCUGAAAAAGAAGAACCAAGUGAGAGGGUUUACACGACCUGAUUUCCAAACUCACUGUAAAGCCACAGCCAUCGAGAUUGUGUGGUGUUGGUGUGAUGAUAUGGCACACAGAUCAGUGGGACAGAACCGAGAGCCCAGAAAUAAACUCUCACAUUUAUCAUCAGUUGAUUAUUGAGGAGGUGCCGAGACAUGUCAAUGAGGAAAUAACAGUCUCUUCAACAAAUGGUGCUAGGACACCCCGACGUCCACAUAAGAACACCACGGCCUCAGACCCCUACCUCACACCACACACAAAAGGGACUCAAAGUGGAUCACAGAUCUAAAUGGAAGAGCUAAAAUGAUAAAACUUCUAGAAGAAAACAUGAUAAAGUCUUCAUUAACGUGGGUUAGGCAAAGAGUUCUUAUAUAAAACAACAGAAGCAUGAUUCUUGAAAGAAAAAAUUGAUAAACUGAACUUUAAAAGACAUUGUGGAGAAGAUGAAAAGACCGAAACACAGACCGGGAGAAAAUAUCUGUAAACCAUAUAUCACAUUAAGGGCUUGUAUCCAGAAUACAUGAGGCACUCUUAUAACUCAACAGUAAGAAGACCAAGAGCUCAAAAAAUGAGCAAAAGAUUUGAAGAGACAUUUUGCCAAAGAAGUUGUACAGGAAAAGACACCCAAUCUCCUUAGCCAUCAGGGAAACGCAAAUCAAACCCACCACGAGAUGCCACAGCCAUUAGAGUGACUAUACUUGGAAGACAGACGGCCCGGAACCUCAGCAGGGAUCAGAGAGGUGGGAACCUCGUCACUGCAGGUGGGCCUGGAAACGCACAGCCACUUCGGAAAAGUUAGACGUAAAGGUAGCCUCAGAACCCAGAAAUUCCACCGUUAGGAACCCACCCAAGAGAAUCGGACACGUGGGUCCACGCAAAGACUUGUACAAGCAUGUUCACAGACCCACGAGCCCCUGCCCGACUCUGCCAGGCCCUGGGUUGUCGUCACCCCACACAGCGCACUGAGCCUCGGGUCUGCACGGGGCCGAGCAGGGGCAGGCAGGAGGGUGGACCAGGGUGCGGAGAUGCUCUACGUGACUGAGAUGACAGCUCCCGUGUCCGGAGCAGCCCCGAACCGUCAAGGAAGACCCAUCUAAAUCCUGCCUGCAUCGCCCACUCCGGGCUCCUGACGCCCCCACCCCAAGGGUGGACACCCGGCCAGGUAAGUCAGCUGUGCAGACGCACGUCUGGGCAAGGACAGAAGGAGGACAGGGAAGUCCAAGUUCUCACCGGGUGGACAAGGCCAGGACCCGAGGUCCGGCUCCAAGGAGCUUCAGCACCACAAGCCCAGCCUCUCGGGGAUAUUUUUUCCUUUUUAAUUUAUUUAUUUAUUUAUUUAUUUAUUUUUGGCUGUGUUGGGUCUUCAUUGCUGCACAUGGGCUUUCUCUAGUUGUGGCGAGCAGGGGCUACUCUUCGUGUGGUGCGUGGGCUUCUCAUUGCGGUGGCUUCUCUUGUUGCGGAGCACGGGCUCUAGGUGUGCAGGCUUCAGUAGUUGCGGCUCGCGGGCUCUAGAGCGCAGGCUCAGUAGUUGUGGCGCACGGGCUUAGCUGCUCCGCGGUAUGUGGGAUCUUCCCGGCCCAGGGCUCGAACCCGUGUCCCCUGAAUCGGCAGGCGCAUUCUUAAUCACUGUGCCACCAGGGAAGCCCUCGGGGAUUUUUAAGGAACAAUUUCAGCGCUUCUGGACAGACAUGGGGAAGUUUAGACUCGUGAGCUUUUCCGGUCCUGCAAUUCUGAGCACCAAGUAGCAAGACGAGGACACAGAGGACGGAGCCUCUUCCUCCCAGGGUCCCGGCUAAUGAACGGCAGCUAUUAAAUCACUGACAAGAAGAGCAAAAACGCUGUUCCUCACAGAGCUGCUCUCGGAAUCAUCGUUAUUUCCACCCAAUUAAUUAAGCCUUGUCUUCCGUGAAAGCAUCACUUGGAAAUGGCCCUGUUCUGGGUCCAGACCCCUGAACUCGUGACAAGCCACACGAAAUCACACGACGAGGAAACUGCUCGGAGGGGAGCCAAGCUCCACACUGCAGCACAGGUAAUUAACAAGAAGCCACGUUAAACAAACUAAAUUAAAAACGAGAUUUAAAUGCUUAAACUGGCCAUCAGCCCCAUCAUAAAAGGAAGAGGUUCGAAUCCAAAAGGUGCAGUAGCUGAGCUCACGGCGCCACAGUGAGAGGAGCAGAGAGGCCUAGCAGGGGCGGCUCGGGGCCCCAGGCAGGGCCAGGAGGCCAGGCUUCCCCAAGAGGCAAGGCCAACGAGGACCAGAGGUGCGGGGCCACAGCACGAGGGCAGAAAACGAUCUUGGGGGUAAAGGGCCACCCCCGGCGGCCUGACACCUCCCUCUGGACACCCAGCAGGCCAGGCUGCUCAAGCUUGUGUGGCCAGAUCCCAUCUCUCCACCUGCCACCUCCGCCCUCCAGGCCGCAUCAACCCCGAGCUGGCAGGCUCCACCCUCCACCCAGGCCACCAGCCAAAGCCAGGGCCCAACCUGGCACUGUCACCAGUCUGUCCACUGCCCCCGCGCCACAGCCCGCCCUCCAUCCGUCCUCCACCUGUGGCCCCCAUGAUCAGGGACCCCAGCAGCCCCAAUGCAUGUGAACUAGAUCCCCAGUCCCCAACUUGGUCCUCGAAUGACCAGGGUCCUUUAAUAUGGCCACACGCUCUGUCCUUAAACAUCUAAAACGUUUCACUGAACGUUUACAUAGUUGCAAAAGGGAGGAAUUUCUGGGCUACUGUAAAUGCUGACGUUUUAGCUGCUGAAAUUGCUUGUAUUACUCUUUUAAACAUAGACCAGGAAAUAAAAAUCCGUGGCGUCUCAGUUCACUUUACGUGUCAUCGCGCCUGGGCCGAGGGACGCCCACUUAACUGGUGAGACGUGAUUUCUAGGUGUGUCUGGGCUGGUGUCUGGGAAGAGAUCAGCCUCUGAGUCCAGACCACGUGAAGACGGCCCUCCCCGUGGUGGGCGGCACCACCCCAUCCCUUGUGGGCCCAACAGAACAGAAACGCAGAUGACGGGAGGUCCGCUCUCCGCCUGAGCUGGACGUCCACGCUCCCCGCCCCUGAGCAUCCAUGUCCGGGUUCUCGAGCGUCUGGACUCGGGCUGCACAGCCCCACUGGGCCCUGGGCAUCCGGCUCACAGGCGGCACCUGGUGGGGCUUCACGGCCUGCACGACCCCAAGAGCCAGCCCUACGUUAAACGUCCUCAGACAUGUCUCUAUCCUCCGGGUUCCGUUUCUCUGGAGAACGCUGAUUUACCACGGGGACUGGACACCCACCAGCUCUUCAACCAAGAAAUAGGGGGUGUAAAAAACCCUCUUAGCUGGUUGCUCCUUCUCUCCUUGAACAGAUAUUUCUACUGUUUUCCCACAGAACUUAUCCUAAUGUAAAAACACUUAUGCUUGAAAGUAUUUUAUCAAUCACCCUGCCAUGCUGCUCUGGAAGAGAUGUGUGAAUCUUUGCAAUUUUUUCCUAUAACAAGAAGACUACAAGUAUUAAAAUUUUCCUUCAAGAUUGAGUUUUUAAAAUUAUUGGCAGGGACUUCCCCGGCGGCGCAGUGGUUAAGAAUCCGCCUGCCAAUGCAGGGGACACGGGUUCGAGCCCUGGUCCGGGAAGAUCCCACAUGCUGCAGAGCAACUAAGCCCCGUGCACCCCAACUACUGAAGCCCACACGCCUGGAGCCUGUGCUCCUCAACAGGAGAGGCCACCGCAAUGAGAGGCCUGUGCACCACAACAAAGAGUAGCCCCUGCUCGCCACAACUAGAGAAAGCUCGCGCGCAGCAACAAAGACCCAACGCAGCCAAAAUUAAAUAAAUUUUUUAAAAAAAUUAUUGGCACGGAGCUGACUAAAAGUAAAUACAUUAAGUUUUGAUAAAUAAAUAUUAAAUUGAAAAAGUAAAA